GUACGCAUUCAACGUUCGCUGGCAGAGCGCCGAGCGAACGCAAUCAUCUUUGUUGAAGCGGACAAUUCCUAUCAUCUCAUCUUCUUCAAAGCGGGCCAGCGCGUCACUGAGUCCUGACUGAACAUGAGAGGGUAAAUCGCACUGGGUAAUAUCCCCGUUGACGAUAACCGUCACAUUCUCCCCGAGGCGCGU
rnacentral:antisense_RNA from 1 species